GCGUAACGCGUAUGCAACCGUACCUAUACAGGGAAGUAACCUUUCGAAAGGGAGACUAACACCCCAUAGUAUUGAUUUAAGGCAUCUUAGAUUAAUUAAAUAUUUAUAGGUAUAAGAUGGGCAUGCGCAUGAUUAGCUAGUUGGUAAGGUAACGGCUUACCAAGGCGACGAUCAUUAGGGGUUCUGAGAGGAAGGUCCCCCACACUGGUACUGAGACACGGACCAGACUCCUACGGGAGGCAGCAGUGAGGAAUAUUGGUCAAUGGGCGCAAGCCUGAACCAGCCAUGCCGCGUGCAAGGAAGACGGCCUUAUGGGUUGUAAACUGCUUUUACAUAAGACUAACCGUAUAUUUGCGAAUAUACCUGAAUGUAUUAUGAGAAUAAGGAUCGGCUAACUCCGUGCCAGCCGCCGC
rnacentral:rRNA from 1 species